GGAACAUUGUAGUCUCAUUCCUGAACAGAUGACUCGUUCAAAUGAAUUGGUACAAAAAGAAUCAUGAGUCAUGUCUAGCUGUUCAUGUGACAGACCUUUAGGUAAAGCUACCAGUUCUAGGAGUUUUGUUUGAAUGUACACUAUCAUUCAGAUGUUUGGGGCUGGUGAGAUUUUUAAAUGUUGUUGAAGAAAGUCUCUUGUGCACACAAAGGCUGCAUUUAUUUGAUCAAAAGUACAGUAAAAACAGUAAUAUUGUAUUCUAAAUUAAAAUAACUGUUUUCUAUGUGAAUACGUUUUAAAAUGCAGUUUAUUUCUGGUCAAAGCUGAAUUUGAUUCAUAGAAAGUUCAAAAGAACAGCAUUUAAUUGAAAUUGAAAUCAUUUUACUGACCGAUUGAAUGCAUUUCUUUUUUCAAAUGCAAUUCAUUUUCCCAAAGGACCACUCCAAAGCUCCAGAUGUCACUCUCCGUGGUGAACUUCCUGUACUUCCUUCCAGCGAAUGGGCAGCAUGGUCCUCCCACCGACCUGAUGAUGGGAUUGAGAGUACAUAUACAAAAUCACAAAUGAGCUCUGUUUAAUGUCUAAUGUUUCUCCCAGACCUUAUCUAAAGAGAUCUGAACUGCAUCUCAAAUUGUGACGCGAGUCAGAGAUCUCAAUAUGAACACAGACACUUUUACUUACAAUAUAUUUCUGCUAGUUUCAGGAGAAACAUGUGAGGCGAUGUUGAAACUGAAAUGAAGUGUUGUACCCAUAGUAAUCAGUGCUGUAAAUGUCUCUCGACAUCCCAAAGUCCCCGAUCUUCCCCAGCAGCCCUUCUCCCACCACACAGUCCCUGGUGGCCAGGUCUCUGUGGACGAAGUGAAGGAAGCGAGGUCCAUCAUGCCCGAGGCGAUCCGAGCUGCGAUGUGGAGCAUCUGGGGAAGAGUCAACUGACCCAUCGGAGGAACCUUCAUCUCGUCCAGGAUACGAGCAUCUGGACCAUGAGCCCUGUUGUCUAAGAAUGGCAUGUAUGAAUGUCCAAGGAAGCUCUUCGGAUUCGGACUGCUGCACCAUGUUGCUGGCGCUGUAGUUAAUUCGCUGUGAGGGGCUGGUGGAUGUUAGACUGACAUUAGAAAGCGGUUGAGGUCUCCGUGUCACAUGAACUCAAACAGCAUGGCCAGAGGUUCCCCGUCUGCACACACACCGUAGAAGCGCACUGUGUGUUCAUGCUGUAGCACCGUGAGCAGCUCGGCCUCGCGCUGGAAGUCCUGUCCGGUGGACUCGUUGGUGACUGUCAAGGUCUGGAUAUGAAGACAGUCAGAUAUUAAAAUGUAGUGAGCAUACAAUGUUCAAGAAUUUGGACACUUCUAAAGAAGUUUAACACGGGUAAUAGAUGUUUGGAGAUGAACUUGCUACUAACUGUUAUUCAAAUUUGAAGGGCAGUUCUUCAUUCUGUUUGCUACUUCGAUUUUAAAUUCAUUACAAUUUGAAUUACUGAGUUGGCGCUCAGCUCUGGUUUAGUGUUUUGCAACAGUGUUUUUUAGUAUUAUUUCUAUAGUAUUAUUAAUAUUUUGAUAUUUUCAGUUGUCUUUUUUUUCAUUUUAAUUAGUUAAAUUUUUAGUAAUUUUGUUAUGUGCUUUUUUCCUUUUAGUAGUCUUUUUUUAUCUGUUUAGUUUUAAUUUGUAUUUCACUUUUAGUAUUUCAACUAUUUUAAUUAAUUUUCUUAAGAUUA
rnacentral:lncRNA from 1 species